GUCCAUGCCGUAAACGUUGGGCGCUAGGUGUGGGGCUCAUUCCACGAGUUCCGUGCCGCAGCUAACGCAUUAAGCGCCCCGCCUGGGGAGUACGGCCGCAAGGCUAAAACUCAAAGGAAUUGACGGGGCCCGCACAAGCGGCGGAGCAUGCGGAUUAAUUCGAUGCAACGCGAAGAACCUUACCAAGGCUUGACAUACAGAGAAAACUGUCAGAGAUGGCAGGUCCUUACGGGCUCUGUACAGGUGGUGCAUGGUUGUCGU
rnacentral:rRNA from 1 species